UCCGUAGGUGAACCUGCGGAGGGAUCAUUACACAAUACAAUAUGAAGGCUGUCCGCAGCUGGAGUAUUUUAUUACCCUUGUCUUUUGCGCACUUGUUGUUUCCUGGGCGGGUUCGCUCGCCACCAGGACCACCAAAUAAACCUUUUUUAUGCAGUUGCAAUCAGCGUCAGUACAAACAAUGUAAAUCAUUUACAACUUUCAACAACGGAUCUCUUGGUUCUGGCAUCGAUGAAGAACGCAGCGAAAUGCGAUACGUAGUGUGAAUUGCAGAAUUUAGUGAAUCAUCGAAUCUUUGAACGCACAUUGCGCCCUUUGGUAUUCCAAAGGGCAUGCCUGUUCGAGCGUCAUUUGUACCCUCAAGCUUUGCUUGGUGUUGGGCGUUUUUGUCUUUGGUCGCCCAAAGACUCGCCUUAAAGUGAUUGGCAGCCGGCCUUUCUGGUUUCGCAGCGCAGCACAUUUUUGCGCUUGCCAUCAGCAAAACGGCAAUCCAUCAAGCCUCCUUCUCACGUUUGACCUCGGAUCAGGUAGGGAUACCCGCUGAACUUAAGCAUAUCAAUAAGCGGAGGA
rnacentral:rRNA from 1 species